GGACCCGCACAAGCGGUGGAGCAUGUGGUUCAAUUCGAUGCAACGCGAAGAACCUUACCUGGCCUUGACAUCCUCGGAACUUGGCAGAGAUGCCUUGGUGCCUUCGGGAACCGAGAGACAGGUGCUGCAUGGCUGUCGUCAGCUCGUGUCGUGAGAUGUUGGGUUAAGUCCCGCAACGAGCGCAACCCUUGUCCUUAGUUGCCAGCACUUCGGGUGGGCACUCUAAGGAGACCGCCGGUGACAAACCGGAGGAAGGUGGGGAUGACGUCAAGUCAUCAUGGCCUUUAUGGCCAGGGCUACACACGUGCUACAAUGGCCGGUACAGAGGGCAGCCAACCCGCGAGGGGGAGCUAAUCCCACAAAGCCGGUCGUAGUCCGGAUCGGAGUCUGCAACUCGACUCCGUGAAGUCGGAAUCGCUAGUAAUCGCGAAUCAGCAUUGUCGCGGUGAAUACGUUCCCGGGUCUU
rnacentral:rRNA from 1 species